rnacentral:rRNA from 1 species
UACGUAGGUGGCAAGCGUUGUCCGGAAUUAUUGGGCGUAAAGCGCGCGCAGGCGGCCUCUUAAGUCUGAUGUGAAAGCCCCCGGCUCAACCGGGGAGGCCAUUGGAAACUGGGAGGCUUGAGUAUAGGAGAGAAGGAGUGGAAUUCCACGUGUAGCGGUGAAAUGCGUAGGAGAUGUGGAGGAACACCAGUGGCGAAGGCGACUCUUUGGCCUAUAACUGACGCUGAGGCGACGAAAGCGUGGGGAGCAAACAGG